rnacentral:rRNA from 1 species
AUUGAACGCUGGCGGCGUGCCUAAUACAUGCAAGUCGAACGAGGUGCUUUUGUAGCAAUACGAGGGUAUCCUAGUGGCGAACGGGUGAGUAACGCGUAGGUGACCUGCCCCGAAGUGUGGGAUAACAGUCCGAAAGGAUUGCUAAUACCGCAUGUGGCCAUCAGGCUUAGAAACCGAUGUCUAAAGAAGCAAUGCGCGUUGGGAGGGACCUGCGUCCCAUCAGCUAGUUGGUGAGGUAACGGCUCACCAAGGCGACGACGGGUAGGGGGCCUGAGAGGGUGGCCCCCAACAAUGGAACUGAAACACGGUCCAUACACCUACGGGUGGCAGCAGUAGGGAAUAUUGCACAAUGGGCGAAAGCCUGAUGCAGCAACGCCGCGUGAGCGAAGAAGGCCUUCGGGUCGUAAAGCUCUUUUCUGGGAGAUGAGAAAGGACAGUAUCCCAGGAAUAAGUCUCGGCUAACUACGUGCCAGCAGCCGCCGUAACAC